rnacentral:rRNA from 1 species
UACGUAGGGGGCAAGCGUUGUCCGGAUUUAUUGGGCGUAAAGAGCGUGUAGGCGGUCAGGUAGGUCAGCUGUGAAAACUCGAGGCUCAACCUCGAGACGCCGGUUGAAACCAUCUGACUAGAGUCCGGAAGAGGAGAGUGGAAUUCCUGGUGUAGCGGUGAAAUGCGCAGAUAUCAGGAAGAACACCCGUGGCGAAGGCGGCUCUCUAGUACGGUACUGACGCUGAGACGCGAAAGCGUGGGGAGCGAACAGG